GUGCUAUGAUGACAUUCCAUAGUGGUUUCAUCAAACUGAUAAUUUAAUGAGAACACUAAAUUCCUUGGCUGUAUCUGAGCAC
ensembl:snoRNA